UAUGGGAGGCAACAGUGGGGAAUAUUGCACAAUGGGCGAAAGCCUGAUGCAGAGACGCCGCGUGAGGGAAGACGGCUUUCGGGUUGUAAACCUCUUUCAGCAGGGAAGAAGCGAAAGUGACGGACCUCAGAGAGCCGUCC
rnacentral:rRNA from 1 species